rnacentral:snoRNA from 1 species
UGUAUUGUACUGAGCAAUGAUGAGUCUGUAUUUGCCUGACUGCAAAAAAAGGAUGAAGUCUUCCACACUUGAACUGAGCUCAGAAUAAAAUG